GAUGAACGCUGGCGGCGUGCUUAACACAUGCAAGUCGAACGGUGAAGGCGGAGCUUGCUCUGCUGGAUCAGUGGCGAACGGGUGAGUAACACGUGAGCAAUCUGCCCCUGACUCUGGGAUAAGCGCUGGAAACGGCGUCUAAUACUGGAUACGAGCUGCGAAGGCAUCUUCAGCAGCUGGAAAGAAUUUCGGUCAGGGAUGAGCUCGCGGCCUAUCAGCUUGUUGGUGAGGUAAUGGCUCACCAAGGCGUCGACGGGUAGCCGGCCUGAGAGGGUGACCGGCCACACUGGGACUGAGACACGGCCCAGACUCCUACGGGAGGCAGCAGUGGGGAAUAUUGCACAAUGGGCGAAGGCCUGAUGCAGCAACGCCGCGUGAGGGACGACGGCCUUCGGGUUGUAAACCUCUUUUAGCAGGGAAGAAGCGAAAGUGACGGUACCUGCAGAAAAAGCGCCGGCUAACUACGUG
rnacentral:rRNA from 1 species